rnacentral:lncRNA from 1 species
UUGCUUCUGAAACCAUUUAGCUGGUAGAAUGGUUUCAGAGAUUUGUACUCUUAAACCAUUUUCCUGGUAGAAUGGUUUCAGUGAGUUGAUGUAAUGUAGUGAAAAAUGAGAUUAAGGUAGUGAAAAAUUGGGUUUUUUUUUCUGUGUCCAAAUCAAACGAACCAAGUCUCUAUUUGUAGAGAAAAAAAAAUUAUGAAUUUUGGUAUAAAAAAAAAAUACAAAAUUAAUUUACAACGAAAUAAUUGA